rnacentral:rRNA from 1 species
UGGCGAUGAACGGGAAAGCCCAGCACCGAACUGCCGGCCAUACAGGUCGUGCGGAAUGUGGUGUUAAGAAGGGUCUUCCAGAGCAUUAGACACCAGUCAAAGUCCAACUUGACAGUGGCCACAGCCCAUAGAGGGUGAUAGGCCCGUAAGGCGGUCGUCUGGCUCUGCUGACCUCUUCUCCGAGUCAGGUAGCUUGUGAGUGCUGCCCAAAGAGCGAGGUAAACUCCUCGUAAGGCUAAAUACAACCCCAAUACCGAUAGCAAACAAGUACAGUGAUGGAAAUUUGAAAAGAACUUUGAAGAGAGAGUUAAUAGUACGUGAAACUGUAUGGUAGUAAACGCAGCCUCCCUCGAAGUGCAGCAUUGUGGACCCAACCUAAGCGUGCUGCUGCAUGGCUGUCUGUCCAGAGCCGUUAAAAGCCUGGCAGGCUGGUCUGCUGGCGGUGCGCGCGGGUGCAUCUCUACAUGCUUGACUGUAGGAACUGUUGGACUUGGACCGAAGGCCCGGGGUGGAGACCGAGCUGGCUGUAGUGGCUGGCACGGACCCGCCGGUGUCCUGGCUCCUCGUCCGACAGGCAUCUGGCCGGCGCUUAUAGAGCGCAAUCGUUGCUAUUGCAACCGGCCAUUCCCUACAGAGUAGGUCGGCGAAGGCUGCGACCCGUCUUGAAACACGGACC